AAGAGCUGGAAGGUGAGGCCAGUGGAGGGAGGAGGGGGCAGGCUGGCACCAACACUGCUUUGGGACAUUCCAGCUCAGGACACACAUGCAGACUCAAACCGACAACCCGAUAUGGAACCAGAUCCUGACCUUCCGGAUUCAGCUACCCUGCCUCUCCAGCUACAUCAAGUUCAGAGUCUUGGACUGGUGAGCAACCUGGUGGAGGCUGAAGCACACAGGGAAGGAAGAAAUGAGAGCUGGGCCGGGGGCUCAGCCUAAGGAGUGUGUUUCUCUCCAGCCGCAAGAAGGACUGCCCGGAUGAGAUUGGGACUGCCAGCCUGUCCCUCAACCAGAUCUCAUCCACCGGAGAAGAGAUAGAAGGCAAGCAAAGCCUCGAGCCCACUUCCUACGCCCCUCGUCCUGCGCCCGACCCUUCUCACUCUCUCUCCUUCCAGGAGUGUACUCCGGCUUCCUGCCCUGCUUUGGCCCCAGCUUCCUGACUCUGCAUGGGGGUAAAAAGGCCCCUUUCAGGAUCCAGGAAGAAGGCGCUUGUAUUCCCGACUCUGUUAGGGAUGGUUUAGCUUAUCGAGGCCGAGUCUUCCUGGAGUUAAUCACCCAAAUCAAGUCCUAUCAAGACUCCACGAUAAAGGAUCUCUCCCAUGAAGUGACCAGGAUAGAGGGAACAUCUACCAUUAUGUGCCCUGGUACAACACCAAGCCUGUCGUGGCUGUGACCUCCAACUGGGAGGACGUCAGCUUCCGCAUGAACUGCCUCAA
rnacentral:lncRNA from 1 species